rnacentral:lncRNA from 10 species
GGACUCAUGGUGGCCUGAGCAGAGAGUAAGGAGUGAUCCUCAAGUAUGCCCCCCACCUUGGAGGACCAGGAGGGUGGAAGGGGAGUUUAAAGUGCAAAGACAGGCUCCAGGCUGGGAGUUCUGGAAUAAAUACAACUUGCAAAGGGUUGUAUUCAGAACAUUCCUACAAGUCAACAAUAAAAGACAAACAGCUUAGUAGAAUAAAUGGUGAAAAAUAGAAACAAAAUUCACAGAAGGAACCUGAAUGCCUAAUAAAAAUAUAAAUGGGAGUUCAACCUCACCAUGACAAGGGAAAUGCAUGGGCAAUCCAACUUUACACUCAGCAUGACUGCAAACAUUACAGAGUCCAUUAAAAUGGUGAGGAGCUGAGCAACAAGACCCACUCGCAGGAGGGGUACAGAGGAUGCCCUGUGACCCCGCAACUCCACUCACAGGAAAUGCCUAGGGAAUCUCUCACACUUGAGAAUGACUGCUGCAUUGUUGUAAUAUUGAGAAAUUGGGGCCAACCUAAGUACUCACCAACAGGAUGUUGUUAAAUAAACUGUGAUAUCUACUCAAUGGAAUAUCACACCCCACCUAGGGGAGCAGAGGAGACUGUGUAUGGACACAGACAGCUCAUGAAGGUAAGGGAGAAAGAAAAGCAACUCACAAAGAUACUGAUUUAUACGGUUUACAAAUACACGUACAGUGAAAAAUGACACCAUCAAGCCAGGCACAGUGGUGCACACUUACAGUCCCAGCUACUUGGGAGGCUGAAGCAGGAGGAUCACUUGAGCCCAGAGGUUUGAGUCCAGUCUGGGCAACACAGGAAAAACUCUGUCUCAAAAAAAAAAAAAACUUUUAAAAUGACCAUAUCAUGGAAAAUUCUGGAGAGCAGUUAUCUUGGGACAGAGAUGAGGCAGUUGGCGGGGCGGGGCGGGGUGGGGGGGAACAGGGGACAGGGGUGGUCACAGGAGUCCUAGCUGCUCUGAAGUCGUGAGUGGGGACAGCAGAGCCUGUUCAGGAGGCUGCUGACUGUCCAGGGCUUUGCUGAGUGCCUGGCUCUGCCAAUGGGAGGUUACCAGCAGGAGAGCCUGGAGUGUCGAGGAGUCACCACGGCCCUGCACUCAGUUAAUGCUCUACUGUUGCUGUCUGGAUAUCACUUGACUUUUGGGUGUGGUUGGUGUUGCUUUAAGUUUCUGGGGAUAGCAAAAGCUUAAGAAGUGACUCUUGCCAUCACAUGGCUGACCACCUCUGGUGAGAACACUGGAGAAUAGUUUAGGGGUGCCCGAGUUUCCCCCACUGCAUAGAGCCUGGUGCCAGGGAAGACAGGCUGGACCUGGCUGUGGCCCCUUGAAUGGUGGCAGGGAGACCACAGCACAUCGCAGGGCCCUGAGGAUGACGUGUAUUUGAGGGGGCAGGGUUCUCCAGUAGCAGGUGUUGCACAGUGGGGAAUGGUGGGUGCAGAGCUGGGUUAGUUUUAGCAGAGGUGUGAAGGUGAUUCCUCUCUGAGCUGGAGGUGGAAGCAAAUGGGAAAACGGUCUGGCAUAAACAGACAAGCCCCGGGGAGGCAGACAGCGUCCACCACUACCAGGUCCACCUGCUUUAGGUAUACCUUCCUACCAGGACAUGAGAGCCCACAGUGGCUGGGGUCUUGUCAUCAGGCACCCUGAAUGCUUUCAGGUGGAUGGUUUGGAUCUCUCCUCACCUGGCUGGUCAGGUGUGUAAGCCUUUCUGCCUGGACAGCCUCAUUGAGACAGCCCUAGACUAACAGUCACCCAUAUUGAGCCCAAGCCCACCCUGCAUGAUGCCAAGCUUAGAAAUGUCACCCUGGAGUCACAAAAUCCCUUCUUUGCAUUACCAAAAGAGGUGGUCACUCAGGGGUGCUGGAAUCUUCCCCACCUUAAGGCUUAGCUCCAGUCUGUAGCCCAUUCCCUGACAGGUACCUGGGUUUCCCAGCCUUUGAUGACCCCAAACGCUGUCUCUUCCCUAAGGGUCACUGCCUUGGGAUUUGCCUGCAGGCUAGGCACACCUGGUAAAUGAGGUCUCCACACACUGGGUCAUUAGUACCCACAAGCAAUCACUGUUGAGUUCAUGAACUCUCAGGCUGGAGCUCAGCAGUCCCACUAGGGACCACCACUGGGGUCACAAGAUGGCCUUGAUCCCCAGUUAUCUGGAUCCCCAGUUCCCUGAACCAGAGCAGCUUCCUAAACUCCCUAGUCCAGCAGAGGUUAGGGCUCGCUUUCCCUGCUAGAGGGGCCUCCUCCAAACCCCACAGUGCCCCAACAACACUUCCUGUCCUCUGGUAGACCCUUACCUGCCUGUGUCUUGCACAAAGUGCACACUGGGAGGCAAGAGCCUGUCUCUGCAGUAAGAAGGGCUUGGGGCAGUGCUCCGCUGGCAGGCAGACAAGGCAGGCAGGGCCCCAGCCCAAUGCCUGAGUCAGCAGGCUCCUAACAGCCUGAGUGACCUCCUCAUAGCAUGGGGUCAGUGCAGCGGCAAUGUCUGGGUUGUUGAGGGUUUUGAUGGGUGAUCAAUGCUGGAGGAUCCUCCCUCUGCCUUCCCCAUCCAACACAGAUCAUCUCCAAUGUGCCAGACCUGUGCUGGGCAACAAGGUUGGCUGAGAUGGCCUGAGACAGGGUCCCUUGAUGAACAGUCCACUGGGAAUGGGGCCUGCAGUGGCCCUGGAUGAUUUCAGUAUCUGCCACUCACCUUGGUCAUGAUGCCACAGAGAGUGUGGCAUGGCCAGGACUGUACCUGGGGCAGAUGGUCUUGCUCUUUGGUUCUGGGGAGGAGCGCAAAGUGACUGGGCUCAGGUGAAGGAGCUGUUGGCUUAUGAGGAGGCUGCUCCAAGAAGCAAAUAGGAGACAAGGAACCACUGGCCUGCAGAUGGGGCAGGAUCCUGGACCUGGGCCCCCCGAGUCACCAGCCACAUGGCCUUGGGAGUGUUACUUACUCCUGUGAUUGUAGCACAAUGAGGGGUUAGACUACAAAGUCCCUCAGGCCCUGACCAGCUCUGGGGAAGAAGGCCUAGGACUGAGAGAGGCGGCAUACACCUGAGCGCCUGACAGUACCCUCGUGAACCUGCCUGAGGGUGGCCACAUUCCCACACCCCAUGUGUGCCUAUCUCCAUCAGCACUGAGAAGACAGCAAACGCCAGCUUGCCAGGGGUUUACCCAGAAAGCCCAGCGCAUACCCCCAGAGUGUUCUGGCAGACCUGUGCCAGCUGGGUUCAGUGACAGUUCAUCCUGCCAUGGGCUCUGGUCUCCCCAUCACCCUCUGAGGGGGAAGCAGGAAGUUGUGAGGGGUAGCCGGGCCUGACCUCUCUUCCCUGGCACGAUGCUGUCUCCCUGUGCAAAGUGGGGACUUCAGGCAUUUGGUGUGGAGGAAUGGGUGGUGGGAUUGAAAACCCCUACCAGACCCCUGUCACACCAAGGAGCCCAGCGAUGGGGGGGUUUCUUCCCUCCCUCUGAGGUAAGACCAAUCUGUUAAACUUUCAGUACUAAAAAAUAAAACCGAGUGGGAGGAAGGUGAGGACUGAAAAACUACAUAUCAGGUAUCAUGCUGAUUACCUGGGUGACAAAAUUAUCUGUACACCAAACCCCUAUGAUCCAAUUUACCCAUGUAACAACCCUUGAACCUAAAGUUGGAAAGAAAAAAAAAGGUAAAAUUAACAAAUCCAUAUUAGUGUGAGCUGGGUGAGUAGUUUAGUCUGAAAUGACAGAAUAUUCAUUUUUCGUCUCUCUGAGAUAGUGACCACACUGUCCUCACCAGGA